UACGUAGAUCCCGAGCGUUGUCCGGAUUUAUUGGGCGUAAAGCGAGCGCAGGUGGCUUAUUAAGUCUGGUGUAAAAGGCAGUGGCUCAACCAUUGUAUGCAUUGGAAACUGGUAGACUUGAGUGCAGGAAAGGAGAGUGGAAUUCCAUGUGUAGCGGUGAAAUGCGUAGAUAUAUGGAGGAACACCGGUGGCGAAAGCGGCUCUCUGGCCUGUAACUGACACUGAGGCUCGAAAGCGUGGGGAGCAAACAGG
rnacentral:rRNA from 1 species